AUCUGUCAAUGAUGCUUUGUAUUUUACCUACAUUGUUUGAAUGCCUGUGAGAACAUUCUUGUACACUGAGACAGAU